rnacentral:lncRNA from 1 species
ACAACUUUCUGUAUACUUAAAAGAGUGAUAGUCGGUAAACAAUUCACACCCUAACUUCAAACAACCUUAACUUCUUCAUACAAAACUCAAAUAACAAACUUUAUACACCAAAAUUAUAGCACAAAGCACAAGCUUUCUGAAUCUCUCCUCUAAACCCUCGAAUCCCCCCCGAAGAAGUGGCCUCCCCUUCGGUUUUCUCUCAGACAGCCCCUUGAAGCUCUUUGGUCAUGACCUAUAGCCAAUGAGAGUGAAGAUUCUCUUAUGCUUGCCUUAUCUAUCUA